GACGGCCUUCGGGUUGUAAACCUCUUUCAGUAGGGAAGAAGCGAAAGUGACGGUACCUGCAGAAGAAGCACCGGCUAACUACGUGCCAGCAGCCGCGGUAAUACGUAGGGUGCGAGCGUUAUCCGGAAUUAUUGGGCGUAAAGAGCUCGUAGGCGGUUUGUCGCGUCUGUCGUGAAAGUCCGGGGCUUAACCCCGGAUCUGCGGUGGGUACGGGCAGACUANAGUGCAGUAGGGGAGACUGGAAUUCCUGGUG
rnacentral:rRNA from 1 species